UGCCAGCAGCCGCGGUAAUACGGAGGGUGCAAGCGUUAAUCGGAAUUACUGGGCGUAAAGCGCACGUAGGCGGUUUGGUAAGUCAGAUGUGAAAGCCCCGGGCUCAACCUGGGAACUGCAUUUGAUACUGCUGAACUAGAGUAUGGUAGAGGCAAGUGGAAUUCCAGGUGUAGCGGUGAAAUGCGUAGAUAUCUGGAGGAACAUCAGUGGCGAAGGCGACUUGCUGGACCAAUACUGACGCUGAGGUGCGAAAGCGUGGGGAGCGAACAGGAUUAGAUA
rnacentral:rRNA from 1 species